GGAGUUUGGACCGUGUCUCAGUUCCAAUGUGGGGGACCUUCCUCUCAGAACCCCUAUCCAUCGAAGGCUUGGUGGGCCGUUACCCCGCCAACAACCUAAUGGAACGCAUCCCCAUCGAUGACCGAAAUUCUUUAAUAGUUCUACCAUGCGGAAGAACUAUGCCAUCGGGUAUUAAUCUUUCUUUCGAAAGGCUAUCCCCGAGUCAUCGGCAGGUUGGAUACGUGUUACUCACCCGUGCGCCGGUCGCCAUCAAACUUAGCAAGCUAAGUUCAUGCUGCCCCUCGACUUGCAUGUGUUAAGCCUGUAGCUAGCGUUCAUC
rnacentral:rRNA from 1 species